GACGAACGCUGGCGGCGCACAUAAGACAUGCAAGUCGAACGGACUUAACUCAUUCUUUCGAUUGAGAGCGGUUAGUGGCGGACUGGUGAGUAACACGUAAGCAACCUGCCUAUUAGAGGGGAAUAACAGUGAGAAAUCAUUGCUAAUACCGCAUAUGCUCACAGUACCACAUGGUACAGUGAGGAAAGGAGCAAUCCGCUAAUAGAUGGGCUUGCGUCUGAUUAGCUAGUUGGUGGGUAAUGGCCUACCAAGGCGACGAUCAGUAGCCGGACUGAGAGGUUGAACGGCCACAUUGGGACUGAGAUACGGCCCAGACUCCUACGGGAGCAGCAGUCGGGAAUAUUGCGCAAUGGAGGAAACUCUGACGGCAGUGACGCCGCGU
rnacentral:rRNA from 1 species